ensembl:lncRNA
CACACUUUUUGGUCCCCGAACAUGGGGUUUUGGGUAAUGACUGUUGUCGAUGAGAGAAGAUGUGGCUCAUCCUCCACUGACCUUGCAGCGGCAGCUCUUCCAUCACUGCUCCUGUUCUUCUUGGGAGCUCCGGCAGCAGGGGUUGCUCUGGGGAGACAGAUGCCUCACCCUGCCUGUCCCCCAGGGACACUGUGUCUGUUCCAGAGGAGGUGUCCUGGGAUUGUCCCCCCCACUGUGGCAUGUUUGUCCCGGGUAUUGUUCCUGUUCCCUCUGUGUAUUUGGAGGAGAUCGCAGAAGGUUUCAUUAUGGUUCAUGGCUGUUCUGUGUGAGGUCUAAAGGGCUGUUAGUUGUGUGUGUAUGUGUAGUCCUUGUAGUAUUCCUGUCCUCGCCCUCGCCCCGGUGGAUAGCCCCAAGAGCAGGGUCCCCCUCCCAUCCCCCCCCUGGGCUCCUGACCUCGGCCUGGCAUGGGCCACGGCCCUCCGGGUGGGGCCCCCCUCCCCCGGAAGCCCCCUAA